GCACCUAUAGCUCAGCUGGAUAGAGCGCUGCCCUCCGAAGGCAGAGGUCAGAGGUUCGAAUCCUCUUAGGUGCGCCA
rnacentral:tRNA from 2 species